CAUGCUCGAUCUGCUGAGGACAAAUAAAGUGGAUGUGCGAAUCAAUCCCGCCCGCCGUGACGAUGCAGCCCUCGCCUGCGAUGACAUCCGUCGCCGCGCCGAUGACCAUCGUGAUGCCGUUCUGGAUGAGCGGAUUUCCCGCAUGCCCGAUACCCACGAUGCGGCCGUGCUUCACGCCGAUGUCGGCCUUGAUCACGCCCUGCACCGGAUCGAGGAUGAGGGCAUUCGUAAUGACCAGAUCGAGACACUCAUGAUCCAGCGCCAGCGGCGACUGGCCCAUGCCGUCGCGGAU
rnacentral:sRNA from 1 species